CACCCAAUCAGGGUUUAUAAUUCACCUCAAAGCUGUGAAAUGACAUGUGACCUUUUUGGAAUCACAAUGAAGCACACAACGGCCUACCAUCCACAGGCCAACAUGUUGGUGGAGAGAUUUCACUGCCGCAUUAAAGAAUCCCUGACAACUAGACUUAACAGGCCCAACUGGAUUGAUCGACUUCCAUGAGUGAUGUUGGGAAUCUUCACCACCCCAAAGGAAAAUCUCAACACAUCUUCUGCAGAAGUAGUGUAUGGUGCCCCUCUUACAGUGCCAGGAGAGUUCCUUCCGAAUGCAAAGUCAGACCCAAAUGUCAAAAGGUACCUCGCACAACUGAGAGACAGCUGGUAUGCAUACGU